AGCGGCGAACGGGUGAGUAACACGUGGGUGAUCUGCCUCGUACUGCGGGAUAAGCCUGGGAAACUGGGUCUAAUACCGGAUAUGACCUUCGGAUGCAUGUCUGAGGGUGGAAAGAUUUAUCGGUACGAGAUGGGCCCGCGGCCUAUCAGCUUGUUGGUGGGGUAAUGGCCUACCAAGGCGACGACGGGUAGCCGGCCUGAGAGGGCGACCGGCCACACUGGGACUGAGACACGGCCCAGACUCCUACGGGAGGCAGCAGUGGGGAAUAUUGCACAAUGGGCGAAAGCCUGAUGCAGCGACGCCGCGUGAGGGAUGACGGCCUUCGGGUUGUAAACCUCUCUCGACAGGGACGAAGCGCAAGUGACGGUACCUGUAGAAGAAGCACCGGCCAACUACGUGCCAGCAGCCGCGGUAAUACGUAGGGUGCGAGCGUUGUCCGGAAUUACUGGGCGUAGAGAGCUUGUAGGCGGUUCGUCGCGUCGUUCGUGAAAACUUGGGGCUCAACCCCAAGCUUGCGGGCGAUACGGGCGGACUAGAGUACUUCAGGGGAGACUGGAAUUCCUGGUGUAGCGGUGAAAUGCGCAGAUAUCAGGAGGAACACCGGUGGCGAAGGCGGGUCUCUCGGAAGUAACUGACGCUGAGAAGCGCAAGCGUGGGUAGCGAACAGGAUUAGAUACCCUGGUAGUCCACGCCGUGAUCGGUGGGUA
rnacentral:rRNA from 1 species